rnacentral:rRNA from 1 species
GUCCACGCCGUAACGAUGGAUACUAGCUGUUGGAAGCAAUUUCAGUGGCUAAGCGAAGUGAUAAGUAUCCCACCUGGGAGUACGUUCGCAAGAAUGAAACUCAAAGGAAUUGACGGGUGCCCGCACAAGCGGUGGAGCAUGUGGUUUAAUUCGAUGAUACGCGAGGAACCUUACCAAGGCUUAAAUGUAGAUUGACCGGUUUGGAAACAGAUCUUUCGCAAGACAAUUUACAAGGUGCUGCAUGGUUGUCGU